GAGGUUAUAGCUCAGUGGUAGAGUGCGUGCUUAGCAUACAUGAGGUUCUGGGCUCAAUUCCUAGUAUCUCCA
rnacentral:tRNA from 1 species